AACGCUGGCGGCGUGCCUAACACAUGCAAGUCGAACGAGAAAGUGGUAGCAAUACCAUGAGUAAAGUGGCGCACGGGUGAGUAACACGUGACUAACCUACCCUUGAGUGGGGGAUAACCGAGGGAAACCUUAGCUAAUACCGCAUAAUACCCACGGGUCAAAGGAGCAAUUCGCUCGAGGAGGGGGUCGCGGCCGAUUAGUUAGUUGGCGGGGUAAUGGCCCACCAAGACGAUGAUCGGUAUCCGGCCUGAGAGGGCGCACGGACACACUGGAACUGAAACACGGUCCAGACUCCUACGGGAGGCAGCAGUGGGGAAUUUUGCGCAAUGGGGGAAACCCUGACGCAGCAACGCCGCGUGGAGGAUGAAGUCCUUCGGGACGUAAACUCCUUUCGAUCGGGACGAUUAUGACGGUA
rnacentral:rRNA from 1 species